AGCGUAGACGGAUGGGCAAGUCUGAUGUGAAAGGCAUGGGCUCAACCUGUGGACUGCAUUGGAAACUGUCAUACUUGAGUGCCGGAGGGGUAAGCGGAAUUCCUAGUGUAGCGGUGAAAUGCGUAGAUAUUAGGAGGAACACCAGUGGCGAAGGCGGCUUACUGGACGGUAACUGACGUUGAGGCUCGAAAGCGUGGGGAGGCAAACG
rnacentral:rRNA from 1 species